CGGCUAACUACGUGCCAGCAGCCGCGGUAAUACGUAGGGGGCGAGCGUUGUUCGGAAUUACUGGGCGUAAAGGGUGCGUAGGCGGUUCUCUAAGUCUGGUGUGAAAUCUCCCGGCUCAACUCGGAGGGUGCGCCGGAAACUGGAGGGCUUGAGUGUGGGAGAGGAGAGUGGAAUUCCCGGUGUAGCGGUGAAAUGCGUAGAUAUCAGGAGGAACACCUGUGGCGAAGGCGGCUCUCUGGACCAUUACUGACGCUGAGGCACGAAAGCUUGGGGAGCAAACAGGAUUAGAUACCCUGGUAGUCCACGCCCUAAACGAUGCAUACUUGGUGUGGGCGGUUC
rnacentral:rRNA from 1 species